rnacentral:tRNA from 1 species
GCGUCGGUGGUUCAGUGGUAGAAUGCUCGCCUGCCAUACGGGGGACCCGGGUUCGAUUCCCGGCCGACGCA